rnacentral:lncRNA from 1 species
GAAAAUUAUUUCCAAGAUAAAACUCCAAACACAUCAUGAAACUAUAUGACUAAGGGAGAAAAAAGACAUUUUCAGAUAAGCAAGAUCUCAAAUAAUUUGCCUCCCAUGCAACCUUUCUUGUGAAACUACUUGAGGAUGUGCUCCAUCAAAACAAGAUAGUAAACCAAGACAUAGGAAGAUAUGAAGUACAGGAAACAGAGUCAACACAGGAAGGAGAAUAAGGAAUUUCCCUCCAGGAUGGCAAAGGAGAUCCCAGGGUGAUAGCUGCACCAGGAGUUGAGAGUACCCAGUCUAGAUUGGAGCUGUGUGAUUCAAGAGACAGACAUGUUAAAGGAUGUUUGAGCAAUACCCCUGAAGCCAUGGAAUGGUUUUGUGAAUCUGAGGACAGAAUGGCCAGAAUGAGAGCUCCAUGCGGGCAGAAAUUUUUGUCUGCUUUGUUCAAUGCUGUGUCCCUAGUGCCUAGAACAGUAUCUGGCACAUGCUCUUAUUCUAUGGCUGACCUUUCUGCCAGCAAGUUUUCCUUGUGUUUAAAAGCACUACGAUUGAAGCAUAAAUGACAAAUGGAAAGAUGAAAUACAGAAGCCCCACACUUACAAGCCCUUCCAUAUGCCAGGUUGCAUGGUUGGAAGGCCAUGUCUGCAGGCUUCUUCCAGGCUACCAGCCAGAAAGUCUGAACUAAUUUCCUGGAGGGAAAACAAAGGCCCCACCUUGAACAAAUCCCAAGGCCAAGGGAAAUCCUUGCUUCCCACAUUUCUACAGCUGCCCCACCUCCAAGUGUGGCUCAUACCCCCACCUGUGAACCCAGUACACCCGGCUGGAUUUCACGGUGGGAGGAUGGCCUUUUUCCCUGAGUAUCAAUGUUUUGGGCUCUGAAAGAUUCUCAAAGUGUCCACCAAGAAGCCCUGUCUUAUAGACCUACUGCAGGCCUGCUCUGGAUAAACUUGUGAAUGAGAUGAAAUCCAGCUUCUUUUGGCCCAUUCAGUGAUCCUUUUCCCCAGCAUUUUGUCAACUGGCUGUUGACUGCAGUUUACCUUGCUAACUGAGACCAUAUUUCCAAAGGGAAAGUACAUUAAGACAUGAGGGAUCUGUGGAGCUUGGGUACAGUGGCUUAUGCUUGUAAUCCCAGCACUUUGGGAGGCCAAGGCAGGAGGAUCGCUUGAGGCCAGAAGUUUGAGACCAGCCUAGGCAAUAUAGGGAGACCCC